AUUGAACGCUGGCGGCAUGCCUUACACAUGCAAGUCGAACGGCAGCACGGGGCAACCUGGUGGCGAGUGGCGAAAGGUGGAGUAAUGCAUCGGAUGGUACCUUUCAGUGGGGGAUAACGUAGCGAAAGUUACGCUAAUACCGCAUAUUCUGUGAUCAGGAAAGCAGGGGAUCGCAAGAACUUGCGCUGAUUGAUGGGAAGGUGUCAGAUUAGCUAGUUGGGGAGGUAAAGGUUCACCAAGGCGACGAUCUGUAGCGGGUCUGAGAGGACCAUCCGCCACACUGGAACUGAGACACGGCCCAGACUCCUACGGGAGGCAGCAGUGGGGAAUUUUGGACAAUGGGGGCAACCCUGAUCCAGCCAUGCCGCGUGAGUGAAGAAGGCCUUCGGGUUGUAAAGCUCUUCCGGCCGGGAAGAAAUCGCACGGGCUAAUACCCUGUGUGGAUGACGGUACCGGAAUAAGAAGCACCGGCUAACUACGUGCCAGCAGCCGCAGUAACAC
rnacentral:rRNA from 1 species